AGGAGGAGCUGUGUGUGCAAUCUGAGCAGGGAUGGAUUUAUUUCGUGCAUCAGAUACAUCUGCAGCGCUCACUUGUUACUCCACAGCCAAAGCUGUGUUUAAAUCAGGCCUUUUAAAGCCUAAAACCUGCUACAAAAUUUCCCCCCUCCAAACAAUCUAGUUAAUUAACCAGCUAACUCAGCUCUGGCUGGCUCUCCCUGCAAAUACCCCAUCCUCAACAAGAUUUUUCCUUAGAUUUGGAUGAAAUGCAAUGAUUGAGUCAUGACUUUUUUCCCUGGCUCAGUUGCUGGAGCAGGGAAUGUUGUUCACAAUACUGGCUGUUGCCAUAUGCUUUUUUCAUCAAGUUAAAGGGUGCAACUUUCUUUUUUGCUUCCCCCUCCACUGACUCACUCCCCAAAUAUGUUUCUGGUUAGGAUGCAUUGUGACUUCUUCCUGACAUAAGGUUUUCUAGUUUGCAGGCAGCUUGGGGAAUCGCCUCUGUGAGUUCUAAAACAUCCCAGCUCCCGGGAGAAGUGUCCUGGAGAGAAGGAGCAGCAGGAUGCUUACCUGGGUGCUUGCAGUCUUUGGGAGCUCUCCUGCCACAGAAAAGGUUUUCCAGAAGCCUGGAAGUCCCACUUGGAGUGAGAUGCUGCCUGUGAAGGAUCUUGGAGGGACAGCCAGACUUGUCCCUCCUGGAAUUCCUUUAAGGCCACCUUGUGCUGAUCCCCAGACCUUCCCCACUGAUGCCAAAUUCCCUUGGAAAAGUGCUGCUGUCGCUGUUUUUUCUUGUCCUGGCUCUGUCACCAUCCGGUGUCAAAGCUUGGGAGAUGGAAGAGGAGGAGGCAGAGGUGUUUCCUUGCAAGGAGCAAAUGUUGGAAGAACCCAUCCUUGUUCAGCUGGCUGCAUUUCCAGUGUCCCAAACGCACUGGAGAGCUGGAAGCAAAGCCUGGCCACUCCACAGCCCUGCAAGGAAGGACAGAGGCUUGGGAAAAAUACCCUGGCAGUACAACCUCAUGGAUUUUCCCUUUAAGGAAAAAAAAAUAUGGAGGAUGUUUCCUAUCCUGCUGCCAUGGGCUUUGGCUUCUCCUCCCACCCUCCCAGGGCCGCGUCUCUCGGCGCAUUCCUCCGCGUCGGAACCUCCGCCUUGCUAUCUAAGGAGCUGAAGGAUAUUUCCAACCCAGCCCUGCCAGAAAAUCCUGGCAGCCACCUCCAUCUCCCGUCCUCCUGCACACACAUCCAGCUCCUCGAGCGCUCUGAUUCCCUGCCGUGUUCAAACGACCGUCACUGACAGGCAGCUCUCCAUCCAGCAGGUUAUUUUCUUUCCUGGCUGGAGGGGUUUUUUUCCCCUUUUCCAAGCCCCAGCUGGUUCCUGCAGUUUCUUCUCCUAGUGGCUGGUUGGACUCUUCCUGCUGAGUGUCCAUGCUGAGAUUUACCUGCAAGUGGGACUGGAGCAAGGCUGUGCCUGGCAUUAACUUCAACCCAGCUUUGCAGAGAAUGGCAGAAUCCCAGAAUGGUUUAGAAGGGACCUUAAAGAUCACCUGGUUCCAACGCUGCUGCCAUGGACAGGGCUGCCACAUGAAGCUGGAAUGAAGCUGCUGCAGCUCCAGCAUCCUCCAGUUCAAACAAUGAGCUGUCAAAAGGCUUUUCUGGCAUCGAGUGGGCACAGCGACCACCCAGGAUUCUUUUUUCUGGCUUUUAAAACCCUCUGAUGGUGGGGUGACUCCUUCAUUCCCUCACAUCUGAACAGCCUCCCCAAAGAGCCACUCUGAGUGUUUCUCCAGGUGAUCUGUCCAUUGCUUUUUGCCCAUCCUUUGUGGAAAAGCAAAACAAGGCAUUUCCUCCCUCUUCCAUCCCUCCCUCCCUAGACAAACCCUCUUUUAUCUACCUGAAGAUGUUAUCAUCAUUCUUUCUUUCUCCGGGGUAAACAGCCUGAAUUCUUUGAACCUUUCCUCACUGGUCACUCUCCUGCCCCACCAGGAUCUGCUGAGGAACUGGGGGUGCUCAGCAGGGCUCUCCAUGAGCCCCCCUGGCCCUUAUUUUGCAGGGAACGUGGGGCUGCACCAGGAGCACCACAGGACCCUUGGCUGCAGAUACCAUGUGUCUUCCAGGAGCUCACAAAUCACCCCCAUUUCACGGGAUUUGGGGGAUUCCCAACACGAUUGCCCAUCCCCAGCCAGCUGAAAGCUCACCUCCCUUUCCUCGGGGAGCUGCUGAUGGCUUCAGAGCGCUCAGACGAAGUUCAUCCCACCCAGCUGAUUCAAUAACAUCGACCUGAUUAAGCCACUUUGCCCUGCUCUGUCUCUAUUUUUCCAGCACUAACUGCAUUACCAUCCCUCUCUUUCCGGUGAAGGCUGGAGCUGGAAAAGCACGAAGCCAUGCAGCUGUCUGGGCAUCAUCCAUCUCCCCCUUCCCCCAGAACAACAGGUUCCUGAACCUGCUGCAGCUUCUCAGGGCAUCUCAGGUGUCAGAGGGGCAAAUAAACGGUGUCAACCCCUUCA
ensembl:lncRNA